UACGAAGGGGGCUAGCGUUGCUCGGAAUCACUGGGCGUAAAGCGCACGUAGGCGGAUUGUUAAGUCAGGGGUGAAAUCCUGGAGCUCAACUCCAGAACUGCCUUUGAUACUGGCGAUCUUGAGUCCGGGAGAGGUGAGUGGAACUGCGAGUGUAGAGGUGAAAUUCGUAGAUAUUCGCAAGAACACCAGUGGCGAAGGCGGCUUACUGGUCCGGUUCUGACGCUGAGGCGCGAAAGCGUGGGGAGCGAACAGG
rnacentral:rRNA from 1 species